rnacentral:rRNA from 1 species
GUGGGGAAUUUUGCGCAAUGGGCUAACGCCUGACGCAGCAACGCCGCGUGGAGGAUGAAGGUCUUUGGAUUGUAAACUCCUGUCAGCAGGGAAAAAGCAAAUCGGCCUAACACGCCGGUGAGUUGAUUGUACCUGCAGAGGAAGCCCCGGCUAACUCUGUGCCAGCAGCCGCGGUAAUACAGAGGGGGCAAGCGUUAUUCGGAAUUAUUGGGCGUAAAGGGCGCGUAGGCGGCUUGGCAAGUGGAUGGUGAAAUCCCUCGGCUUAACCGAGGAACUGCCGUCCAAACUGCUUUGCUUGAGACCGGGAGAGGUGAGUGGAAUUCCCAGUGUAGCGGUGAAAUGCGUAGAUAUUGGGAGGAACACCAGUGGCGAAGGCGGCUCACUGGACCGGUACUGACGCUGAGGCGCGAAAGCGUGGGGAGCAAACGGGAUUAGAAACCCCGGUAGUCC